rnacentral:rRNA from 1 species
ACGGCUCAGUAACACGUAGUCAACAUGCCCAGGGGACGUGGAUAACCUCGGGAAACUGAGGAUAAACCGCGAUAGGCCAUGGUUUCCGGAAUGGAUCAUGGCUGAAACCUACAUGGCCCCUGGAUUGGACUGCGGCCGAUCAGGCUGUUGGUGAGGUAAUGGCCCACCAAACCUGUAACCGGUACGGGCUCUGAGAGGAGGAGCCCGGAGAUGGGCACUGAGACAAGGGCCCAGGCCCUAUGGGGCGCAGCAGGCGCGAAACCUCUGCAAUAGGCGAAAGCUUGACAGGGUUACUCUGAGUGAUGUCCGCUAAGGGCAUCUUUUGGCACUUCUAAAAAUAGUGUAGAAUAAGGGGUGGGCAAGUCUGGUGUCAGCCGCCGCGGUAAUACCAGCACCCCGAGUGGUCGGGACGAUUAUUGGGCCUAAAGCAUCCGUAGCCGGUUCUGCAAGUCUUCCGUUAAAUCCACCUGCUCAACAGAUGGGCUGCGGAGGAUACUACAGGGCUAGGAGGCGGGAGAGGCAAGCGGUACUCAGUGGGUAGGGGUAAAAUCCUCUGAUCCACUGAAGACCACCAGUGGCGAAGGCGGCUUGCCAGAACGCGCUCGACGGUGAGGGAUGAAAGCUGGGGGAGCAAACCGGAUUAGAUACCCGGGUAGUCCCAGCUGUAAACGAUGCAGACUCGGUGAUGGGUUGGCUUCGAGCCAACCCAGUGCCGCAGGGAAGCCGUUAAGUCUGCCGCCUGGGGAGUACGGUCGCAAGACUGAAACUUAAAGGAAUUGGCGGGGGAGCAC